UACGUAGGGGGCUAGCGUUGUCCGGAUUUAUUGGGCGUAAAGAGCGUGUAGGCGGCCAGGUAGGUCUGGUGUGAAAACUCGAGGCUUAACCUCGAGAUGUCAUCGGAAACCAUCUGGCUAGAGUCCGGAAGAGGAGAGUGGAAUUCCUGGUGUAGCGGUGAAAUGCGCAGAUAUCAGGAAGAACACCAAUGGCGAAAGCAGCUCUCUGGGACGGUACUGACGCUGAGGCGCGAAAGCUAGGGGAGCAAACGGG
rnacentral:rRNA from 1 species